GACGAACGAUGGCGGCGUGCCUAAUACAUGCAAGUCGAGCGAAGCGGCGGAUGGGUGAGUAACGCGUGGGUAACCUGCCCUUAAGUCUGGGAUAACAUUUUGACACAGAUGCUAAUACCGGAUACUAAAAGAUGGACCUGCAAUGAAUUAGCGACUUGGUAAGGUAAAGGCUUACCAAGGCGAUGAUGCAUAGCCGAGUUGAAACACUGAUCGGCCACAUUGGGACUGAGACACGGCCCAAACUCCUACGGGAGGCAGCAGUAGGGAAUCUUCCACAAUGGACGAAAGUCUGAUAGCGCAACGCCGCGUGAGUUAAGAAGGUUUUCGGAUCGUAAAGCUCUGUUGUUGGUGAAGCGGUAAUCAACCAGAAAGUCACGGCUAACUACGUGCCAGCAGCCGCGGUAAUUC
rnacentral:rRNA from 1 species